CCGUGUCCUAAACCGGGAGGAAGGUGGGGAUGACGUCAAGUCCUCAUGGCCCUUAUGUCCAGGGCUACACACGUGCUACAAUGGCCGGUACAAAGGGGCGCAAGACCGCGAGGUGGAGCAAAUCCCAAAAAACCGGUCUCAGUUCGGAUUGGAGUCUGCAACUCGACUCCAUGAAGUUGGAAUCGCUAGUAAUCGCGGAUCAGCAUGCCGCGGUGAAUACGUUCCCGGGCCUU
rnacentral:rRNA from 1 species